AACGAACGCUGGCGGCAGGCUUAACACAUGCAAGUCGAACGCCCCGCAAGGGGAGUGGCAGACGGGUGAGUAACGCGUGGGAACGUGCCCUUCGCUUCGGAAUAGCCCCGGGAAACUGGGAGUAAUACCGAAUACGCCGUAUUGGGAAAGAUUUAUCGGCGAAGGAUCGGCCCGCGUUGGAUUAGCUAGUUGGAGGUGUAAUGGACCCCCAAGGCUACGAUCCAUAGCUGGUCUGAGAGGAUGAUCAGCCACACUGGGACUGAGACACGGCCCAGACUCCUACGGGAGGCAGCAGUGGGGAAUCUUGGACAAUGGGCGCAAGCCUGAUCCAGCCAUGCCGCGUGAGUGAAGAAGGCCUUAGGGUUGUAAAACUCUUUCGCCGGAGAAGAUAAUGACGGUAUCCGGAGAAGAAGCCCCGGCUAACUUCGUGCCAGCAGCCGCCGUAAAAC
rnacentral:rRNA from 1 species